rnacentral:misc_RNA from 1 species
UUUGACAUCGAUAAAUGCGUGAGAGUGCUCGCGAAGUGCGGAUCAGGCUGUCGCUCGCUCGUCGGCUUGUUGUAGUCGUCGUCGUCGUCGGGGGCUCGUGGGCUCGUCGUCGUCGGUCAGUUCGAGCCUCCUUUUCUUUGUCCUGACUAGACCCCCACUUUGUACCCGCGAAAACCUGUGCAGUAGUAGUGUUAGGCAGUGCCGAUCCACAGUGACCGUCUUUCUUUACGACGUCGCUCAGCUGCACCUACUUUCGUGUGUGAGCGAACGUAUCCGGCGUGCCAAAUGUCACUAGGUGGACGAUAGGGUCGAAAUAUACUCGAUCCUCGACGUCAUACAUACACAUGCGUUUACUGUGCAUGUAUACAGCAAAGAGUUGCUCGCGUCUGCGAUAAAUUACCAGCGACACGCGUAAUCUCGACCCUUUCGACUCGCCUAGUGACUGUACUAUAGUGUUCUUUCCAAUUGUACCGUUCGCGCUUACUUGCUCUCUUGCGCGCGCUGUUUUCUGUCUUUGUUGUGUAUGUAUUCGUGAAAUACGCUUUCGGUUCGCUCGCACGCGACUCCGUGUAUGGAAGUGUGGAGCAGCAGUGCGUCGUAUUUUCUUGUCUCGCAUAUAUUCUAUCGGUUGUUGAUUUUUUUAUUUCACGUGAUUUGGUGUGAUCGUAGUGAAUGUUGUGAAACGAAGGUGAAGAAAGAAGAGAACCGACGAAGAUAGAAAGAGAAAGAAAAGAAAAGGACAAUAACGUUACAGGAGUAAAGUGAAACGAUAUUGAGCGGGAAAAGCAAAUAUAUAGAAAAGGAAAAAAGUAAACUGACGUGUGAGUAGAAGGGCAAGUGGAACUUGGAGUAAGAUAAAGACAAACGCGAACGAGAUAGAUCGAAAAUUGUUGAACGGUAAAAACACGGCUACGAAAGGAAAUUAAUACUACGAAACAGUUGACGAGAUAUAUCUAGUAGAAAAAAAAAGACGGUUCUUGAUGCGUAACGCGGUUGGAAAGGCCUGGCCAUCGAUUUGCCGUCCGUGAAUCUAGUGCGCGUUUGAAAUCGGGCUAGUCUCGCGCGCGCGUGUGUGUUACGUGCACCUAAGCGAACGCAGCCAGCGAGGCGCGCGGACGGACGAGAAAAGAAGGAAGAGGUGGCGGUGGUGGAAGAGGGGGCGGAGAAGGAGAGGCGGUUGAACAGGCGGGCGGAGAGAAAAGUUCGAGAAGCGGCAAUACCAGUGCCAGCCAACAUCAACAACAUCACAACAACAACAAUACAGAUCGCCGCGGUGUAUACAAGGCUGCUGCUCGUGGUGUGCGUUCUGAACGUUUAUCGCGUUGUGUGUCGCCGCGCGCGGCGGUGAUCAUCGGUGUGUGUGCCGGGAUUGCAGAGAAAGAGGUAGUGAACCGAAGCCGCCAGAAUUACGCCAAACCGGGGAAAUAUGAGCAUUGCUGCCCUACUACAGGCCGCCGAGUAUAUUGAACGAAGGGAAAGAGAAGCUGAACAUGGCUACGCUUCGACGAUGCCGAUGCCCGAUGAUAUGCGGACGGUCACAAAAAGGCCAAAGACGAAAAAAUCCCAGGGCAGCAGGACAACUCAUAACGAGCUGGAGAAAAAUAGGUGA